AUGAACGCUGGCGGCGUGCCUAAUACCUGCCAGUCGAGCGAACAGACGAGGAGCUUGCUCCUCUGACGUUAGCGGCGGCCGGGUGAGUAACACGUGGAUAACCUACCUAUAAGACUGGGAUAACUUCGGGAAACCGGAGCUAAUACCGGAUAAUAUAUUGAACCGCAUGGUUCAAUAGUGAAAGACGGUUUUGCUGUCACUUAUAGAUGGAUCCGCGCCGCAUUAGCUAGUUGGUAAGGUAACGGCUUACCAAGGCAACGAUGCGUAGCCGACCUGAGAGGGUGAUCGGCCACACUGGAACUGAGACACGGUCCAGACGCCUACGGGAGGCAGCAGUAGGGAAUCUUCCGCAAUGGGCGAAAGCCUGACGGAGCAACGCCGCGUGAGUGAUGAAGGUCUUCGGAUCGUAAAACUCUGUUAUUAGGGAAGAACAAAUGUGUAAGUAACUAUGCACGUCUUGACCGUACCUAAUCAGAAAGCCACGGCUAACUACGUG
rnacentral:rRNA from 1 species